CGCUGAAGAGAGGAGCUUGCUCUUCUUGGAUGAGUUGCGAACGGGUGAGUAACGCGUAGGUAACCUGCCUUGUAGCGGGGGAUAACUAUUGGAAACGAUAGCUAAUACCGCAUAACAAUGGAUGACACAUGUCAUUUAUUUGAAAGGGGCAAUUGCUCCACUACAAGAUGGACCUGCGUUGUAUUAGCUAGUAGGUGAGGUAAUGGCUCACCUAGGCGACGAUACAUAGCCGACCUGAGAGGGUGAUCGGCCACACUGGGACUGAGACACGGCCCAGACUCCUACGGGAGGCAGCAGUAGGGAAUCUUCGGCAAUGGGGGCAACCCUGACCGAGCAACGCCGCGUGAGUGAAGAAGGUUUUCGGAUCGUAAAGCUCUGUUGUAAGUCAAGAACGGGUGUGAGAGUGGAAAGUUCACACUGUGACGGUAGCUUACCAGAAAGGGACGGCUAACUACGUGCCAGCAGCCGCGGUAAUACGUAGGUCCCGAGCGUUGUCCGGAUUUAUUGGGCGUAAAGCGAGCGCAGGCGGUUUGAUAAGUCUGAAGUUAAAGGCUGUGGCUCAACCAUAGUUCGCUUUGGAAACUGUCAAACUUGAGUGCAGAAGGGGAGAGUGGAAUUCCAUGUGUAGCGGUGAAAUGCGUAGAUAUAUGGAGGAACACCGGUGGCGAAAGCGGCUCUCUGGUCUGUAACUGACGCUGAGGCUCGAAAGCGUGGGGAGCGAACAGGAUUAGAUACCCUGGUAGUCCACGCCGUAAACGAUGAGUGCUAGGUGUUGGAUCCUUUCCGGGAUUCAGUGCCGCAGCUAACGCAUUAAGCACUCCGCCUGGGGAGUACGACCGCAAGGUUGAAACUCAAAGGAAUUGACGGGGGCCCGCACAAGCGGUGGAGCAUGUGGUUUAAUUCGAAGCAACGCGAAGAACCUUACCAGGUCUUGACAUCCCGAUGCUAUUUCUAGAGAUAGAAAGUUACUUCGGUACAUCGGUGACAGGUGGUGCAUGGUUGUCGUCAGCUCGUGUCGUGAGAUGUUGGGUUAAGUCCCGCAACGAGCGCAACCCCUAUUGUUAGUUGCCAUCAUUCAGUUGGGCACUCUAGCGAGACUGCCGGUAAUAAACCGGAGGAAGGUGGGGAUGACGUCAAAUCAUCAUGCCCCUUAUGACCUGGGCUACACACGUGCUACAAUGGUUGGUACAACGAGUUGCGAGUCGGUGACGGCGAGCUAAUCUCUUAAAGCCAAUCUCAGUUCGGAUUGUAGGCUGCAACUCGCCUACAUGAAGUCGGAAUCGCUAGUAAUCGCGGAUCAGCACGCCGCGGUGAAUACGUUCCCGGGCCUUGUACACACCGCCCGUCACACCACGAGAGUUUGUAACACCCGAAGUCGGUGAGGUU
rnacentral:rRNA from 1 species